GGUUCUAUAGUGCAGCGGUUAGCACAUCUGCUUUACACGCAGAAGGUCCUGGGUUCGUGCCCCAGUGGAGCCA
rfam:Pteropus alecto contig64524, whole genome shotgun sequence.